GAUGAACGCUCGCUACAGGCUUAACACAUGCAAGUCGAGGGGAAACGACAUCGAAAGCUUGCUUUUGAUGGGCGUCGACCGGCGCACGGGUGAGUAACGCGUAUCCAACCUGCCCAUCACUUGGGAAUAACCUUGCGAAAGUAAGACUAAUACCCAAUGAUAUCCCACGAAGGCAUCGGAAUGGGAUUAAAGAUUUAUCGGUGAUGGAUGGGGAUGCGUCUGAUUAGCUUGUUGGCGGGGUAACGGCCCACCAAGGCAACGAUCAGUAGGGGUUCUGAGAGGAAGGUCCCCCACAUUGGAACUGAGACACGGUCCAAACUCCUACGGGAGGCAGCAGUGAGGAAUAUUGGUCAAUGGGCGAGAGCCUGAACCAGCCAAGUAGCGUGCAGGAAGACGGCCCUAUGGGUUGUAAACUGCUUUUAUAAGGGAAUAAAGUGGGUCACGUGUGACUUUUUGCAAGUACCUUAUGAAUAAGGACCGGCUAAUUCCGUG
rnacentral:rRNA from 1 species